rnacentral:rRNA from 1 species
CAGCAGCCGCGGUAAUACGGAGGAUCCGAGCGUUAUCCGGAUUUAUUGGGUUUAAAGGGAGCGUAGGCGGACGCUUAAGUCAGUUGUGAAAGUUUGCGGCUCAACCGUAAAAUUGCAGUUGAUACUGGAUAUCUUGAGUGCAGUUGAGGCAGGCGGAAUUCGUGGUGUAGCGGUUAAAUGCUUAGAUAUCACGAAGAACUCCGAUUGCGAAGGCAGCCUGCUAAGCUGCAACUGACAUUGAGGCUCGAAAGUGUGGGUAUCAAACAGGAUUAGAUACCCUGGUAGUCCACACGGUAAACGACGAAUACUCGCUGUUUGCGAUAUACAGCAAGCGGCCAAGCGAAAGCGUUAAGUAUUCCACCUGGGGAGU